rnacentral:rRNA from 1 species
AGGAUGAACGCUAGCGGCAGGCUUAACACAUGCAAGUCGAGGGGUAACGAUUUCGAGCAAUCGAAAGGCGACGACCGGCGCACGGGUGAGUAACGCGUAUGCAACCUACCUCUGACUGAGGGAUAGCCCGGAGAAAUCCGGAUUAAUACUUCAUAUUAUUUCGAAUUCGCAUGUUUUCGAGAUUAAAGCUCCGGCGGUUAGAGAUGGGCAUGCGUGACAUUAGUUAGUUGGUGAGGUAACGGCUCACCAAGACUACGAUGUCUAGGGGGUCUGAGAGGAUGGUCCCCCACACUGGUACUGAGACACGGACCAGACUCCUACGGGAGGCAGCAGUGAGGAAUAUUGGGCAAUGGACGCAAGUCUGACCCAGCCAUGCCGCGUGCAGGAUGACUGCCCUAUGGGUUGUAAACUGCUUUUAUUUGGGAAGAAACCCCCGGACGUGUCCGGGGCUGACGGUACCAAAAGAAUAAGCAUCGGCUAACUCCGUGCCAGCAGCCGCGGUAAUACGGAGGAUGCAAGCGUUAUCCGGAUUUAUUGGGUUUAAAGGGUGCGUAGGCGGAAAAUUUAGUCAGUGGUGAAAUCCUACAGCUUAACUGUAGAACUGCCAUUGAAACUGAUUUUCUUGAGUACAGUUGAGGUGGGCGGAAUGUGUAAUGUAGCGGUGAAAUGCUUAGAUAUUACACAGAACACCGCUUGCGUAGGCAGCUCACUAGACUGUUACUGACGCUCAGGCACGAAAGCGUGGGGAGCGAACAGGAUUAGAUACCCUGGUAGUCCACGCCGUAAACGAUGAUCACUCGUUGUUGGCAAUACACCGUCAGCGACUAAGCUAAAGCAAUAAGUGAUCCACCUGGGGAGUACGGUCGCAAGAUUGAAACUCAA